GCGAGGAUGACUGAGUCUGGCCAAAGGUGGCGGACUUAAGAUCCGCUCCCGCAGGGGUUCGUGGGUUCAAAUCCCUCUCCUCGCA
rnacentral:tRNA from 1 species